ACAGAGAAGCCCUGUCAGCAGAAAAACUGGAAUGGUACACAGAAGAUUAGCAUGGUCUCUGGGCAAGGAUGGCUGCAGACUCAAGAAGCAGCCCAUCUUUAA